ensembl:lncRNA
UAAACAUGUCCCAACAUAUUCAAGUGAAAUAUUGGCCUGAGUUCUCCACGGCUCUAAUAGAGUAAAAAAACACACUGAUGUCCAGUCCAUUUAUGGGUUUCUCGAUCCAACAUGGCAAGGGUGCAGUCUUGAAAGGUCACAUAAGAUUGGGACCUGUCUGUGUUUUGGGGUCAGGUGUUCCUCAUUUUCCUAUACCUCACAGCUUCCAAGUCCUUCUGGAAAAAGAAAUCAACAUUGCGAACAAGCUUGUCUGCUGAUGGGAGCAUGAAGUGCUGAGAAAUCCCCUGGUAGCUGCGUUGACUUUAGAUUUGAUCAAACGUGGCUUCCCAAAUCAUCACAGAGAGUGUGAACACACUGGACUUCUGCUUGUCUCUGCUUUUCCUUCAGACUCUAGGACCUUUAAUUUCUUUUUUUUCCUUCUUUUUUAAUUUAAAAAGAGGUUUUGGACCACACUGUCAAGUCAGCCAUCUUCCUCGUGACUGUGGUUGCCGGUACAGAAUUAGACCAAGAGAGGCUGGAUUACUGAAAUUCUUUCUUUCUUUUUUAUAUGUAUUUUGUUUUUUGCAUUUAUUUGAUUGUACAGUGGAGAGAAUACAGGUUAGCUGGAAAGAAAAACAUGGGGACCAGGUGCAGGAAAUUGCCUCAGAGUAAAUUCAAACCCAGGCCUAUGUGUUAUCCUGGUUGCAUAUGGGCCACCUGCUUGAUUCAGUGACCUAAACUAGUCCCCCGGGUAUUACUGGGCUUUAAAUGGAUUGGCACCUUCAUAGUUCUCCGACCUUUUCCACCUUUAUGUUCCAUCCUGUGCUCUACAAUCUCAGGAUUCUGGCCUUCUAAAGGUUCCUAGAACCAGAAAAAAGACAGUUGGGGAGCGUGCUUUUUCUUUUCGUGCCCCAUUCUUGUGGAACAACCUCCCUCAAGAUAUUAGGCAGGCAUGCUCUGUGGAGGUUUUUAAAACUAAGUUGAAGACACAUUUGUUCACCCUAUCUUACAUGUCUUAAUUCUAUGGCUUUUAGUUUAAAUUUAAAUUUUUAUUGUUUUUAACUUCUAUUGUGCUUUUACUUGUACUGCUUUUUAUCGCUUUUAUUCAUUCAUCUUUGUAGUUUCAAAUAGCUGUACAGCACUUUGUUUGAAAGCGCUUUAUAAAUAAAGUUAUUAUUAUUAUUAUUAUUAUUACUGAAUUCUGAUUUUCAUGAGCUGUGAGCCAUAAUUUAAAAAAAGGCUACACAUGUUUUAGUUUACAUGUAAUGAAUAUAGGAAAUACACAAUCUAUAUUUUCUAUCUUUUCAAAUUAAAUUAUCAACCAAAAUAUAC